CCGGGACGGGCGGACCCGGGGCGACCGCGGGCUGGGGCGCACUGACCGACCGACCGACUGACUGACACCCUCACGCUGACUGACACCCUCACGCUGACUGACCGACGGACACCCUCCCGCCGACUGACACCCUCACACUGACAGACUUACUGACACCCUCACACCGACUGACACCCUCACACCGACUGACACCCUCGCACCGACACGCUCACGCACUGACACAGCCUCGCACGCUCUGACACAGGCAUAACCUCCCGAGCUGACUGACACUCACGCACACGCACUCCUGUGCACGCUGGCAGGCUGACACAGGCUGACACGCACACUCGCACAGGCUGGCACGCACACACACACUCGGAGACACCAGCCCUGGCCCGUCAGGCACAUCCAUGGGCAGUUACACGCUCACAGACCCAGUGAGGCACACCACCCCCACCCCAAAAGUGACCCUCAUCGCCUGCCCGCAGCCAGGGGCACAGACACGCUCGUGGCACUUGCACCGGUGUCCCGUGCUGCCUGCGCUCACGCUGGUGGGCACUGCCAUGUUCUCACAGUUCCGUGCUCAGUUAGGCACUUACACGCUCACUUACUUACUCACUAGCCUGUAUGCUCACAUGCUUCUAGGGUUUAUACGCUGGCUUAUAUGCUCAUGUGCUUGUAGGCACUUAUAUGCUCAUGGUCGUAUGCUAUAAGGCACUUAGACACUCAGGCGCUCACACGUGCUGCUAGGCUCACACGCUUGUGCUCACACUUGUAGGCAUUUACGCUUACUUGUAUUCGCAUGCUUGUACACACCUAUCCAAGAGCAUCCCUCACUGCCUGCCCCACACCUGUGGGUGCACUCACAUGCUUACAAGGAUUUGCACUCUCCUGCAUGCACACACACUCAUAAGCACUUACACCCCUCAGUAUUUCCCUCGUUCCCACCUGCGUGUGCACCUGGCAGCACACUCACAGGUGCUUCUUCACCCUCAGGUGUCUCUCACUGCCUGCUCAUGUGCACACAGUGACACACACCCCACGGUGUCCCUUGUUUGCCCCUCACACGCCCCCAUACUCGUGUCCCUCACUGCUUGCCACUGUAGACACAUGCUUUCAUACACGCUCACAUGUGUGUACUCACACCCCGGUUAUUGUAGUGCUUUGCCACCCAUGUACACCCCUGUAUGUGUGUGCUCAUGUUGUAGUGUCUGCACUGUCUGCCACUUUUAUGCAGUCACGUACGCUCACCGCUGCAUCGUGGUGUCCUUGCUGCCUGCCACAUGCUCGUAUACACCUGCGUAUACGUACAGACACGCAUGUGCAGUUGCACCAGCAUAUCACAAUUUCCACUUUGCCUGUUACCUACACACACGUCUUCCUCCAGCCUCCUCCCUACAGACUCACACCAGCAUAUUGCAUAGUCCUGCUUGCGCACGCACGUGCACCCUGCAGUCUUCCUCAGCCCCUCUCGGGUGUGUGCACACACAACCCAGCGCAUCACUGAGGAUCCCACUGGCUGCUUCUCUCUUAGGCACACGCUUCCACCGAGCUUGCCCUUGCAUUGCACACGUACACUGACACGGCAGUGAGUGUUCCACUGCCUGCCGCUCGCGCAAACACACUCUACAGAGUCCCUGUUCUCUUCUCCCGCACAAAGGGUUAUCUACCACCUCUCCACCAUAAGGCCAUCUUCUUUUUCAGUCACCUCUCUCACAAGCAAGCCACUGCUCUUCGAAACACACGCGUACAUAUCCAAGCAAGUCACCCGUUGCCUUUAUGAGUCCAGCUUUCCUGUACACACACACCACAGGAUCACCCGCUGCAUGGCGUGUCUGUACAGGGGAAUCCUGCCUCCUGCUUUUGGCACAUGUAACGGAGUCACUUCUGCUUUACGCUCACACCUCCGCAGGGCAUCUGCCACCUUUUGCACGUGCGAGUGCAAUAUGGUUACCCACUAUCAGAUACCCCACAAGUCUGCACCUUCUGCCACGCACACGAGUGACGGAGCCACCUGGUACCUGACAGACACACGAACGCGCUUGAAGGCUGUCAGUUACCACAAGGCCAUCUGUCUGACUCACACAGGUAUAGAUACUUAUAUAUAUGGAGCUAUAUAUGUUUCCCUCACACCCCAGCCUCGUGUUAGCUGUCACAUGCGGUGCUCCCCAUCAGUAUGUGUAUUGCACAAAACCUGAAUUUCCGUUAGUUCCCUCCUCCACUUUCUGUUACGCAGAGAGGCAUCCUUUUCCCUCAGUACCUUCAUCGUAUAUUUUGUCCGAAUUGCAGUGCCUUUUCAUACUUUUCAGUCACUUACACCACCCAGACACCUGCCUUCCAGCGUGUUCACUCACACAGUACCACCACCCUGCACUUCACACACACUCUGACAUGCACAGUGCCACACUCUCACCUAUGACAUCAACACGGUCGGUGCCCCCAGGCGCAGUACAAAGCGCAGAUGUACUGUGGGACGUGAUUAGAGGUUUCCCCUCCAAGCGCUGCCCCGUGUAGCUCCAUGGUUAUGCGAGGUAGACACGGCUCUGCAAACCCCUACCCUGGUGGGGGCUGUGUUACCUGACGCAUGCCGCCCGUUCAUCGUAGCACCCUGAGCUGUGCCGUCCCUGUGUACCGAUAGCGCUGGCCCAACCUCCGUUUGCAUACAGAGAAGGAGCCUGCCAUCUCCUUAUCCCCUGCUCCGUGUAGUGAACGCUCAGUUUGUUGCUGUAUGUUUCUGAGUGGCUUUUGUCCUUCUGUGAAAGCUCCCUGUUCUCUGAAAUUCAUGCUGUCUCUUGGGUUCCACUUUGCAGACUGUUGAGCCUGGUUCAUGCAUGCCUGCUGGUUUUGAGUGGCAUCGACCCUCUUAAAUGAGUCUUCUUUUUGAAGUCUGGAGCCAUAUAUGGAUGAAAACUUUGUUUCAAGAGCCUUUGCCACCAUGGGAGAGCUCGUACUGAGCGUAAAAAUCAUUCGAAACAGGUUGACAGGAAUUCCAGCAGGCUAUUGCUUUGUAGAAUUUGCAGAUCUAGCUACUGCAGAGAAAUGUUUACACAAAAUCAAUGGAAAACCGCUUCCUGGCGCUACACCGGCAAAGCGGUUUAAAUUGAAUUAUGCAACGUAUGGAAAACAGCCUGAUAACAGUCCAGAAUAUUCACUUUUUGUGGGAGACCUGACUCCUGAUGUGGAUGACGGCAUGUUAUAUGAAUUUUUUGUUAAAGUUUAUCCAUCGUGUAGAGGUGGAAAAGUUGUUUUGGACCAGGCGGGAGUAUCCAAAGGUUACGGGUUCGUGAAAUUCACGGAUGAACUGGAACAGAAAAGAGCGCUGACGGAGUGUCAAGGAGCUGUGGGGUUGGGCUCUAAACCUGUACGCUUGAGUGUGGCUAUACCAAAAGCUAAUCGUGUGAAAUCAAUGGAGUACAAUCAGAUGUACAACUAUAAUUAUAACCAAUAUUACCAACAAUAUCACAACUACUAUGCCCAGUGGGGCUACGACCAGAACACAGGCAGUUACAGCUACAGCUAUCCCCAGUAUGGAUACACGCAGAGCACAAUGCAGACAUAUGAAGAAGUUGGUGAGGAUGCAUUAGAAGCUCCCGGCCAUUAUUGCAGCAACCGAAGCACAGAGGAGACUUUUAUGUGGAGCGACAAAACAGCCGGUCACCUGGAUUUCGUAGGGUUUGUGUUUUGGAAUCCAAGUUAAACAGAGUGUGGGAUUUCGUUUCUCAUGGAUGGCUACAGGAAAAGCCCCGAUUAAUUACCGAUUAAUGGUGUAACACAAGAUGAAAGACAAGGACUCCGUGCAGUAAGAGCGCUUCCCUGUGGGUUGUCUGCUCCCACCUGUCCGGCAGUGGGAAUUGCAGCCUCUUCCAGCGUUCGCUCCCUGUCCUGCGCUACGGAAGAGACUGAUGUGAGGCUCCCAGCCAUGCUGGGAAGUUUCACUGGGGCUUCGCUGAACUUGUGGUUGAGCACCGCAGACACACAGCGGCAUUUGCUCUGCUCCAUCUUCUCGUGAUGGGACGAGGCCUGCUGAGCAUCCGUUGGGUUUUGGUGUUGCACUUUGGGGAUUCUCCCCAUUUAGCGUUUGGAAGAUUCUCUUCCCAAACGCUUGAUGUUUUCCAAGGUUGUCUGAAUUUUUGGGGUGGGUUGGUUUUGCUACAGUGAGCAAGUUUCUGUCCUGCCCUGGGACUUGAGAGGGAGAUUUCUAGGUUCAUUCUGCACAAGUUGCUGCGCCAAGGAGAAUCCGGGAAUGCCUUGUGACUCGGCAGAGCAGCUGCAGGAUCCAUGGAGGAGGUGGAGGAUGGGACCAGCUGCUUGUAACCUGUCCCCACCGGCUUCAACAAGGGCUGUUUUUAGAAGAGCUUAGUCACACAAGAUUUGGGGCUCAUUUCCAGGCUGACUUCUGCUUUAAAUGGUGCCAGGCUUAUUUUGCUGGUCAUCUGGCAUGCUCGUGGUGGGGGUACCAGCUUGAAAGGGCGACUCCUGAACACUAUGAACUUUUUCAUCUGUGAAUUUUGCUCAGAACAGGUUAAAAACUAACUAUUGCUCUCCCUCAUCCUUUUUGCACUUUCUCCAGGGCUCAGGGGCAGGAAGCAAUCUCAGGCUUUUCAAUGUGGUUUCUCACGGUGGCUGUGGCUUCAGCAUCAGUACCUGCAGAACUUUUGGCAGUCCCUUCCAACCAGUUGGCAGGUGCUCUCAUUUUAAAUCUUUUCCUCUGAUUAUGGAUGAUGAGCCAGGAACCUGACAGAGGUACUGUUUUGACAGACAGAGUUU